UUGCUUAAAGACAGCUGAACAGAGAACUAAUUUUAAAAUGAACAGGAUUUCUGGAUACCUAUGCUCCAAGCUUUAGCUGCCUGCUUUGUCCGUGUGCCCUAACUGUGUGGUUCCUUGUUGUGGAUGCUGCAGGAAAUCCGUGCAUUUCACAGUUAAUCCCAGUGAAGAGACAGGGAAUGCUCAGUGGAUAAAAGGCUUGUAGUCCCAGCUGGGGAAAGAGUUCCAUUAUCUCCCAGCUGCAUAGACAUUCUGCACAGCUUUGGUUUUGCCUGGAUGAGCAAUGGGGCUUUCUCAGAGCAUGUAACAGUUUGGUAGAAAACUGUAAAGAUCCGGAGACAGUUUGACUGUUAAAAUCUGCUAUAAAGUAGUGGCAGGAAGAUCUAUGUAGCUUCUCUGAUGAUUGGAUGGGAGGAAUUUUUGACCUUGGAAAGUGGAGAUGAUGUUGCUAUGGAAACUCGUAUUUCUGCUAUCUCUGAGCUGCUUUGCAGAUGAAGAACAUCCUCAUGGACCAAGUUUUAUCCAAGAACCAUUUGAUGUUACUUAUUCGGUGAAUUCUGAGGAUCCAGAAGUACUUUUGAACUGUACAGCGAGAGGAAACCCCUCACCAUUUU